rnacentral:sRNA from 1 species
GUUGAUGAAGACCAGUUGAGAGCUGAUGAUACAAGUCGCGUGACACAGAAACCAACAUCUAUACCAGUUGCUCAAGUCGAACCAACGACAUCGUCCAUUACAGCCAACUCUACUAUCGCACCUUACAAGACCGGAAGCUGAUUUUCCGCUUCUCAGACAACAGACGAAACGAUAGUAAGAGUUGCCAUGGAAACAUUCUCAACAUUCACAGCAAAAAGAAACUAAAAUAUCUUCACUGAUGACAUUCAUGUAUACACCUCACUAUUCAUUCCAUCACUACUCUGAUCUGAUUCACCCGGAGUGUAAGAAGGGCAGCAGCCAAAGUUUCCCACUUUUAUUCUUCAAAGACCAGCUCUCCUCAUUGUGCCAUAUUUGAUAAAUGAAUCAAUAUUUUUUAUUUUAUUUUUAAUAUCAAUGUAAAUUCACUGACUGUAUAUUUUAAAUGGGUAUAUAGUAAAACAUAGUAGCAGAAAAAAAUAUUGUAAAAUAUAUUAAGUCUAGAGCUUGAGAAAUGCUUACGGCGUCAUGAAAUUCCCAGCAUUCUUUCUCAUCUAGCCCUAACCUCCGGUAGGAGAACAGGGGCUGACGUAGCUGUGGGUGCGACAGUGCAUACAACCGAGACCAAUCGUAAAAGAAGGCCUGAAAAAUGACCUGCAACGCCACAAACUGUGGGCAGUUUAGACCAAUAGCUCGUUGCCAUGUCGAAGGUCUGUACGAGCUAUUGGUCUAAACGGGAAGGGGCAGUUUUCUUUCUCAUCCUAGGGCCGCUUCAUUCCUAUUGCUCUCGGCUAGAGUCUUACCUACCCCAUAAAUAAUCUAGAUCAUGUCCAAACAAAUAAAUGAUCAAUCUAAGGGAGAUAAAUAACAAUUUUAACCAGGUUAUCUAGCUACUAGUAGAUUAGAACUGUUAGACUCUGCUCUAUGUCUUUAAUGCAGUUAUUUUAAUUGUCUUAUGCUAUCUUUUCCUUUCUAAUCUAUUUAUUAUCCAUUAAUUAUUCCUUUGUUAUUAUUUUGAUACAGAAGGCGUAACAUUAACUCAUUCUCUGUAUUUAGUAGGCCCUUUACAUGCUAACUUAAAUGAAGUACUCCUGCAUCCUUGUCAUACAAUAGGUUAUAUUAUCAUUGUAAGAAAAGCAAUGACGUACUUUACUUUAGUCAACAAAAUGUCUUAAGAUGAUAAGAAAUUUUAACCAAAAAGAAAAAAACAAAAUACAAAAAGAAAUAUUUUCGCUUCACUUACAUUGUAAUAUAUAUAUUUUUUCUUCUUGCUGUAAAUGUAAUUUCAUAAUGUUGAUGUUAAUCUUUUUGCUUCACU